ensembl:lncRNA
GUCGUGGGUCACAUGGGGGUCCUGCAGGGUCACAGAGUUACGGUGUUAUGUGUGGCUAUGGGUUUAGAUGGGGUUUCGAAUCACAGUGAUAGGGUCAGCUUGGAUGGUAGGGUCAGAUGGGGUGACAUGGAGUUACGGAUCACAUGGGUUGUAUGGUCGGGGUGAGGUGGGGGCAGGGAUCCCAGAGUUAUGGGCCCACAUGGCGUCGGGUCACAGCGUGAUGGAGGCAGGCAGAGUCAGGGCGUCACAGGAUCAUGUGGGGGUAUGGUUCCCCCAGGGCUGUGGGUCAGUGCAGCCAUGGGGUCACGCACAUACAGGGCGAUGAGGUCAUCUUGGGUUAUGGCUCAUGUGG